UGGGGAAUCUUAGACAAUGGGCGAAAGCCUGAUCUAGCCAUGCCGCGUGAGUGAUGAAGGCCUUAGGGUCGUAAAGCUCUUUCGCCAGGGAUGAUAAUGACAGUACCUGGUAAAGAAACCCCGGCUAACUCCGUGCCAGCAGCCGCGGUAAUACGGAGGGGUUAGCGUUGUUCGGAAUUACUGGGCGUAAAGCGCGCGUAGGCGGAUCAGAAAGUUGGGGUGAAAUCCCAGGGCUCAACCCUGGAACUGCCUCCAAAACUCCUGGUCUUGAGUUCGAGAGAGGUGAGUGGAAUUCCGAGUGUAGAGGUGAAAUUCGUAGAUAUUCGGAGGAACACCAGUGGCGAAGGCGG
rnacentral:rRNA from 1 species